CUCUCUCUACUUGAUUUUAUGAAAUCGAUGAAGAAACCUCGGUCCUAUUACUUCGAAUCCGAUUUGAUCUGAUAGUCAAACUUUGGAUCGUUUAGGUCCUAAUCAGAUUUUGAUUAGAUAAAAUUAGAUGAUCGGACCUAAUCUAAACCGUUGAAAUAUGGUAUUCGUAUUCUUUCUAAUUAUUGAAAUUGAUUCUGUAUAGGAUUAUGGAUGUUUGAUCAUGGGAUAU
rnacentral:lncRNA from 1 species